rnacentral:rRNA from 1 species
AGCGAACGCUGGCGGCAGGCUUAACACAUGCAAGUCGAGCGGGUGUAGCAAUACAUCAGCGGCAGACGGGUGAGUAACGCGUGGGAACGUACCUUUUGGUUCGGAACAACCCAGGGAAACUUGGGCUAAUACCGGAUAAGCCCUUACGGGGAAAGAUUUAUCGCCGAAAGAUCGGCCCGCGUCUGAUUAGCUAGUUGGUGAGGUAAUGGCGCACAAAGGCGAGGAUCAGUAGCUGGUCUGAGAGGAUGAUCAGCCACAUUGGGACUGAGACACGGCCCAAACUCCUACGGGAGGCAGCAGUGGGGAAUAUUGGACAAUGGGGGCAACCCUGAUCCAGCCAUGCCGCGUGAGUGAUGAAGGCCCUAGGGUUGUAAAGCUCUUUUGUGCGGGAAGAUAAUGACGGUACCGCAAGAAUAAGCCCCGGCUAACUUCGUGCCAGCAGCCGCGGUAAAAC